GACGAACGCUGGCGGCGUGCCUAAUACAUGCAAGUAGAACGCUGAAGAGAGGAGCUUGCUCUUCUUGGAUGAGUUGCGAACGGGUGAGUAACGCGUAGGUAACCUGCCUUGUAGCGGGGGAUAACUAUUGGAGACGAUAGCUAAUACCGCAUAACAAUGGAUGACACAUGUCAUUUAUUUGAAAGGGGCAAUUGCUCCACUACAAGAUGGACCUGCGUUGUAUUAGCUAGUAGGUGAGGUAAUGGCUCACCUAGGCGACGUUACAUAGCCGACCUGAGAGGGUGAUCGGCCACACUGGGACUGAGACACGGCCCAGACUCCUACGGGAGGCAGCAGUAGGGAAUCUUCGGCAAUGGGGGCAACCCUGACCGAGCAACGCCGCGUGAGUGAAGAAGGUUUUCGGAUCGUAAAGCUCUGUUGUAAGUCAAGAACGGGUGUGAGAGUGGAAAGUUCACACUGUGACGGUAGCUUACCAGAAAGGGACGGCUAACUACGUG
rnacentral:rRNA from 1 species